rnacentral:tRNA from 1 species
GAGGGAUUCGAACCCUCGGUAAACAAAAGCUUGCAUAGCAUUUCCA